CUGUCAGCCUGGAGGAAGAUGACAGCUCUCUACCUGGUCCCUGAGUACAUCAUUCUGGGGACACCAGCAGGGAAACCUACACAUCAGACACCUGUACAGUCUGGCGCUGGCGGUGUCUCCCCUGCCGUUGAAGGUGGCUGUGAGGAGUGUGUCGGUGACCAGAGAGAGUAGCCACAUCCUGGUGGGCCUGCAGGAUGGAAAGCUCAUCGUGGUGGGGGCUGGGAAACCAGAGGAGGUACGCUCGGGUCAGUUUUCCCGUCGGCUGUGGGGCUCAACACGCCGAAUCUCUCAGGUUUCCUCAGGAGAGACAGAAUACAACCCCACUGAGACUUCUGGGAAGUGAGGGUCGCCAUGAAAACAUACAGAAGGCAAUAUUAUCGUAGCCUGUUAGACUCACCCGAGGCUUGGUUGAUGGCCGACACCCAAAUGGCAUCCUAUUCCUAUAUAGUGCCUAUUGGGUUCUGGUCAAGAACAGCAGUAUAUAGGGAACAGGGUGCCAUUUGGGACACAGACAUUUUUCUACCCACCAGCAGUGGAUUUGCUGGAUCAGAAUGAAGGGAGUAGAGACCCUGGAUGUUGGCGUCAGAAAGCCCACCCAGAACUUUGCUGGACAGGAUUGACUGUUAAACGGCCUCUCCAAACCUCUCUGGGUCCAAACCUCUAUGGGUUCAAGCCUCUAUGGGUUCAAGCCUCUAUGGGUUCAAGCCUCUAUGGGUCCAAGCCUCUAUGGGUUCAAGCCUCUAUGGGUUCAAGCCUCUAUGGGUUCAAGCCUCUAUGGGUUCAAGCCUCUAUGGGUUCAAGCCUCUAUGGGUUCAAGCCUCUGAGCGCUCCGAGAGAGACAUGAUAAACAAAGGCCUUUUUUUUCUACAAAAGGGAAAAUAAAAUAUUUUUUGAUUUA